rnacentral:rRNA from 1 species
CACUUCUAAGGAAGGCAGCAGGCGCGCAAAUUACCCAAUCCUGACUCAGGGAGGUAGUGACAAGAAAUAACAAUAAACCGGCUUAUGCCGGUUUAAUUGGAAUGAGUACAAUUUAAACAUCUUAACGAGGAACAAUUGGAGGGCAAGUCUGGUGCCAGCAGCCGCGGUAAUUCCAGCUCCAAUAGCGUAUACUAAAGUUGUUGCAGUUAAAAAGCUCGUAGUUGGAUUUCUGUGGGGACGGAGCGGCCGGCCGCACAUCGCGGUUCGAGCUAGCGCUUUCCCUACAUCCUGCCGCGAACCGUGCUACCAUUAAUUUGGUGGCGCCGGGGAUCGGCUCGAUUACUUUGAGAAAAAUAGAGUGUUCAAAGCAGGCCACAUGCCUUGAAUAAGUUAGCAUGGAAUAAUAACUAAGGACUUCGGUUCUAUUUUGUUGGUGUUCGGGACUGAAGUAAUGAUUGAUAGGGACAGUUGGGGCGGUCUGUAUUCCAAAGCGAGAGGUGAAAUUCUUAGACCUUCGGAAGACAAACAGCUGCGAAAGCGUUCCGCAAGGAUGUUCCCUUUGAUCAAGAACGAAAGUUGGGGGAUCGAAGACAAUCAGAUACCGUCGUAGUCUCAACUAUAAACUAUACCAGCUAGGGAUCGGCCAACGUUAUUUUAUACCGACUUGGUCGGCACCUUAUGAGAAAUCAAAGCAUCUGGGUUCCGGGGGGAGUAUGGUCGCAAGGCUGAAACUUAAAGGAAUUGACGGAAGGGCACCACCAGCCGUGGAGCCUGUGGCUUAAUUUGACUCAACACGGGAAAACUUACCAGGUCCGGACAUAGUAAGGAUUGACAGAUUGAUAGCUCUUUCUUGAUUCUGUGGGUGGUGGUGCAUGGCCGUUCUUAGUUGGUGGAGUGAUUUGUCUGGUUAAUUCCGUUAACGAACGAGACCCCAGCCUGCUAAAUAGCGCGAGUGAGCUUUGCUCGCCGCGAGCUUCUUAGAGGGACUAUGAUGCGCGAUAGCACAUGGAAGUUUGGGGCAAUAACAGGUCUGUGAUGCCCUUAGAUGUUCUGGGCCGCACACGGGCUACACUGGCGCCUGCAACGAGCAUAUCAGCUGGCCCGAGAGGGUCUUGGCUAAUCUUUUGAACCGGCGCCGUGCUUGGGAUUGACCUUUGCAAUUGUUGGUCAUGCAACGAGGAAUGCCUUGUAAACGCGAGUCAUCAGCUCGCAUUGAAUACGUCCCUGCCCUUUGUACACACCGCCCGUCGCUCCUACCGAUGAAUGUUCCGAUGAAAUUUUCGGAGAGCACCUGUGAACUUGGCUCUGCCUUGCGAACGGGAGGCUCAAAGUCACUUAAAUCUGAACAUUUCGAGG